GACAGGAGGACUGCAGGCUCAAGGCCAGCCUCAACAACUUAGCAAGACCCUAUCUCAAAAUGAAAAAUAAAAAGGGCUGGGGAUGUGACUCAGUGAUAAAGCACCCCUGGGUUCAAUCCCUAGAGGGAAAGACAGAGGGAGAGGGAGGGUGAGGGGAGAGAGAGAGAGAGAGAAUAUGGAUGACAGGGAAUGUUAUAAGAUGACACAGAGAUCUUUGGUCAUAUGUACAGCCACAUGUGCUAAUAGAGAAAGCAAAGGGAGAGGACAUGCUAGUUCUUUGAAAAGAUAUACAAGUUUGAUAAGCUCUUAGCCAAACUAAUAAAAAGAAAAAAAGCCCAAAUUAUUUAAAUUUGAGGUGAAAAAGGAGAAAUCACUACUGACAUCUCAGAAAUCCAGUAGAUCAUCAGGGACUAUUUGAAAACUUAGACUCCAAUAAAUCGGAAUACCUCAAAGAAAUGGAUAUAUCUGUAAACAAAUAAAAUCUACCAAAAAGGAAUCAAGAGGACACAGAAAACCUAACUUGGAAUGAGGUAGGAGCAAUAAUAAAAAGCCUUCCAACAACGAAAAGCCCAGGACCAGAUGGAUUCUCAGCUGAAUGCGACUAAAUCUUUAAAGAAGAACUAAUGGCAAUACUCCUCAAAUUAUUCCAUGAAAUAGAAAGGAGAGCAACACUUUCAGAUUCAUUCUAUGAAGCCAGGAUCACACAUAUCAAUACCAGAUAAAACACAUCAGAGAAAGAAAACUAUAGACCAACAGCCCUGAUAAACUUAGAUGCCAAAAAAUACUUAUUAAAAUAUUAGCAAAUCAUGUUAAGAUUAUUCACCAUGACCAAGUUAGUUUUAUUCCAGAGACGCAAGGAUGGUUUAACAUAUGCAAAUCAAUAUAAUCAUCAAAUAAACAGAAUUAAGACAAAAAUCACUUAGAUUUCAACAAAAUUUAGCACUUAUUCAUGAUAACACAAAAACAAUGAAGAUACUAGGGAUAGAGGAACCUACCUCAACAUCAUAAAGGUUACAUAAAAAUAAACAAAAACUCAAAGCCAACCUCAAAGUAAAUGGGGGAAAGUGAAAGCAUUUCUUUUAACAUCUAGGACAAAGAUGUCCACUCUCACCACUCUUACUUAACAUAUUGCUGGAAAUUCUAGCCAAAACAAUUAGGCAAGAGAAGGAAUUAAAAGGGAUAAAAAUAGGAAAAGAAGAAGUUACGUUAUCACUGUUUGUAGAUGAUAUGAUCCUAUGCAUAGAAGAUCAAAAAAACUCCACCAAAAGACUUCUAGAACUAAUAAACAGUGUGGGGACAACAGGUUAUCUAUAUCUAGAAGAAUGAAAUAGACCCUUAUCUUUCACUCUGCACAAAAAUCAAAUCAAAAUGGAUCAAAGAGCUCAGAAUUAGACCAGAAACUAUGCAACCCCUAGAAGAAAAGGAAGAGUCAAUUCUGCAGCUACAAAGAACAGGUAAAGACAAUAGCCCCCCCUAAAGCUCAGGAAGUAAUGCCAAGAGUUAAUCAAUGGAAUGGCUUCAAAUUAAAAAGCUUCUGCAUAGCCAAGGAAACAAUCAGGAAUGUGAAGACAGAGCCCACAGAACGGGGAAAAAUCUUUGCUAGCUGCUCUUCUGACAGAGGAUCAGUAGCUAGAAUAUAUAAAGAGCUCAAAAAACUUUACACCAAAAAAUCAAAUAACCCAAUUAAUAAAGGGUUCAAUGAAUUAAACAGACACUUCUCAAAAGAAGAAAUACAAAUGGUCCACAAAUACAUUUAAAAAAAGGUUCAACAUCAUUAGCAAUGAGGGAAACGCAAGUAAAACUACACUGAGACUCCAUCCCAAGCAUCAGAAUGGCAGCCAUCAAGAAUACAAAUACUAACAAAUGCUGGGCAGGAUGUGGAGAAAAGGACACGUUUACACUGUUGGUACAACUGUAAAUUAGCACAGCCACUAUGGAAAUGUGGUGAAGUCUCCUCAAAAGACUAGACAUGGGACCCCCAUGGGACCCAGCUCUGCCACUCCUUGGUAUCUACCCUGAAGAAUUAAAGGCACCUCACUCCAGAAAUCCCUGCACACCCAUGUUUACGAGCACAGUUCCCAAUAGGCAAACUCUGGAACCAGCCUAGGUGUCCAUCAGUGGAUGGCUGGAUAAAGAAAAUGUGCUAUAUAUACACAACGGAGUUUUAUUCACCCACAAAGAAAUAUGAAAUUACAGCAUUUUCAGAAAACUAGAGCCCAUUAUGUUAAGGGAAAUAAGUCAAACUCAGAAGGUUAAGGGCCUUCUGGUUUCUCUCAUGUGAGGAAGCUAGAGAGGAAAAAGGAAAAGAAAAGUUGGGGCGGAUCUGGUGAAAUCAAAGGGAG
rnacentral:lncRNA from 1 species